rnacentral:lncRNA from 1 species
GAUGAGAAACUUCAAGGCAAGAUCAAUGAUGAGGACAAACAGAAGAUUCUUGACAAGUGCAAUGAAAUCAUCAGCUGGCUGGAUAAGAACCAGACUGCAGAGAAGGAAGAAUUUGAGCAUCAGCAGAAAGAACUGGAGAAAGUCUGCAACCCUAUCAUUACCAAGCUGUACCAGAGUGCAGGUGGCAUGCCUGGGGGAAUGCCUGGUGGCUUCCCAGGUGGAGGAGCUCCCCCAUCUGGUGGUGCUUCUUCAGGCCCCACCAUUGAAGAGGUGGAUUAAGUCAGUCCAAGAAGGUGUAGCUUUGUUCCACAGGGACCCAAAACAAGUAACAUGGAAUAAUAAAACUAUUUAAAUUGGCACCA